UCCGAGAACAAGCACAUCUGAGCCUGCCAAGGGAAACAAACUGGCAGGAGAAAGGGGAACAAACUGGCUUGGAAAGCAACAGGAGAAUGGGGAGAAGUAACUCAGUGAUUGAAACAAGGACACUCUGGGAAAGCUUUGUAGGUGACUGCCAAUUGUCCAAAAGCAGAGUGGCUUGCUGCUGACUGCAAUUGCAGAAAGAAAAGGUGUCUGUGGUUGGGUGCAAAUACUCUCUGUACUUUCACAACAGCAGUAUAUGUGGGAAUCCUUGUCUGUUCCUGGAGUCUGAAAGCAGUUUUGGCACCUCUGCCACCAAAGGUAAAUAAUCUCAAGAAAGACACUUGUUUUUCUAAUAUGAUCCUGUUCAGUCUCCUCAAGGAUGUAGCACAAUGUUCAACCCUCAAGGCCAAAGCCAAACAAUAAAGUGAACUUUAACCUUUGAAGAACAGGCAUGUGAAAAGAAAAAGCUGUGGAAACAUUUCUUGAAGACACUGGUAUCAUGCCUUUCAUGAUAUAUGGUGGUCCAUGCACUUUCACCUAAGAACUCCUGUUGGAAACCAGCAGCUCUAGCAAAGGAAUGUCUCUCCUUAAUGACAGCAGCUUUGUGUGGUGACAGGACCUUGUUUCUUCCCAGGAAACUGUGUUCAGCAGAACAGAAUAACAUAUUGGGCCAGACCUGAGGGGAUUUUUAUGAGUUCCAUGUGAGAUGCUGAAGCCUUAACUUAAUUGGCCUUACAUUCCUCAGGAAGAUAUACACCCUGUAUCCACAUCCACUCAGUCUGCUCUCCUUUUCAACCUUGUUACCAUAACUAUUGAUUUCUCUUGCUUUAGUCCAGCCUGAUGCUCAUGUAAAUCAAGUCAGUUGCUACAAUCUGGGCUGUGCCAGAAGUGCAAAAUUUACAGCUUUUCUUGCUCUCCUCCUUUUCCUUCUACUGCCAGUGAUGUUUUAAUUUUAACAUUCUGCAUGGAGAUCAGAAAUGUACCCAAAGCUAUUUUGUGUCCCAACAAAUUCUUUGUCUG